rnacentral:rRNA from 1 species
UACGUAGGGAGCAAGCGUUGUUCGGAUUUACUGGGCGUAAAGCGUGCGUAGGUGGUGAGUUAAGUCUGUCGUGAAAGCCCCGGGCUCAACCUGGGAAUGGCAUUUGGGACUGCAAGGCUUGAGUGCGGCAGAGGAGACUGGAAUUCCUGGUGUAGCAGUGAAAUGCGUAGAUAUCAGGAGGAAUACCGAUGGCGAAGGCAGGUCUCUGGGCUGACACUGACGCUCAUGCACGAAAGCGUGGGGAGCAAACAGG